AUGCUAGCCUGGCGGGGCGAUACCGUGAUUACAAAGGUGGUUUUCCCAGGGUGAAGCUUCUCCAGUGCACUCUGGAUGUGCUAACCCCUGUGACUUCCCCAAAUGUGGGAACUUUAACUGCAUAAUUUGGGGUAGCAGAGGACUGUGUUCAAGCUCUCCCUUA
ensembl:snRNA U1 U1 spliceosomal RNA